rnacentral:misc_RNA from 1 species
UCUCCGUAGGUGAACCUGCGGAGGGAUCAUUACAGAGUACUCGCCCUCGGGGGUAUAUCUCCCACCCACUGUUAUCGUUACUGUGUGGCUUUUGCGGGCCGCCGGGCCCCGCUCGGCCGCCGGGUCCGGCUGGCGCGCGCCCGCCAGAGGUCUAGGAACCUCUGAAUGUUAGUGUCGUCUGAGUACUAUAUAAUAGUUAAAACUUUCAACAACGGAUCUCUUGGUUCUG